rnacentral:lncRNA from 1 species
CAAACAUGCGAUGCAUAUCAGUUACAUGCUAAUGGAGGAAUCAUCCAUAUGAGUGUGAGUUUAUAUUGUUUUAAUUUCAUAAUGUAGUUUGACCACAACAAGAUAUACUUACGAUAAUGAUUUUUAACCCUGAUGCUUUAAGUAGAUUGAUUUUCGAAUAUGAAUGAAAAUCUAGAGAGACAAAAACACACAACAAUACGGAGAUCAUUUGGUGCUAUAGUUUUCUGCUAAAUAUAAGACCGUAAUGAUAGAAAAUUAUAAAAAAAAAACAG